GAAAUAAACAGAUAACCAGGUGGUUCAAGCAAAUGACUAGCCAGUUUCCUAUUAAACUUCUCAGCUGCCACCUGUAAAGAAACUCAAGCAGUCCUACACAAAGGUUCACACCAAGAAGGACCAAAGCCUCCUGCUCAUGACCAGCAUCAACUUACACAUUGUACAGAGGAAGAAAUUGAGGCAAAAAGGAUGUUUUCCUGCUUCAGCAACAGCCAGCAAAAGGAGAACAUCAGAGAAAGAAAGAAAGAAAGAAAGAAAGAAAGAAAGAAAGAAA